AAUGAAAAUGAUUCCCAAGCAAGAAAGUCACACCAAAUGGACGGCAAUGAUGAAGACGAUUAAGUAUUUGACUAAGAAAGUGGCUCGUAAUUUGCUUUAUCGUUUCUUCGUUACACAAACUAUUGGUUGUAUCUGUAAUCUCAUUGAUAAUUUUGUAUACUCUGAUUCAUAUUAAUAAAUUUUUUUAGACGUUAAUAUAUAUAUAUAUAUAUAUUUUGUUUUUUUUCAACCACAUAUUAACUAAAAAUAGAGUUAUUUGUUAGUUAAUAUGUGGUUGAAAAUAUAUAUAUAUAUAUAUAUAUAUAUAUGUAUAUAUAUAUAUAUAUAUAGAGAGAGAGAGAGAGGAUAUACAAACUAAGAAAAGGAAUAGAGGAAGCCAUCAUCGUGCAUCACACUCAAAUAGAAGGAAUAGAGGAAGCCUUCAUGGUGCCACUUCACAAAGCACUCAUGCUUAGCAACAAAAAAAAAGGAUUCAACUUUCUAGCUCAUAAAGCACUAAUGCUCACAUCAGUCAUUGUAAAAAAUUUUCCAGACUCAAGCUAUAAUUACAAGAAACAGAAGUAACAAAGCAACAACAUCUAGGAGAGAAAAGUAACCAGGACCUCCUACUUACCAUGAAUACCAAUAUUUGCUACUAAUUAGUUUUAUUUUUGUUCAGAUUCAUCAUCUGUGGGAAAUCAAUUUGCUUUGACAAUGUCUCAGGUAUACAAAAUUAAUAGCUGAAGCAGCAGCCAUAGAGAUUUUCUUAAAAUCAUCCCAAUACCUAUCUUCUCACCAGCACUCGCUGAAACACUUCCUCUAACCACUGAUCCAGCGUAAACGGCAGCGUUUCUACUCUUCACCGGCGGUAGAGUAAGUUCUGUUCUCCGAGGAAGCAAAUUCGAAUUAACCGGUGGUCGACGAUUCUCUAUACGAAUCAGAGCAGAGAAACCAGGAACCGAUUGAGCCAACGAAGAAGACGACGACCGAUUAUAUGACCCACAUGCGCCGUGGAGAGCCGCCGUCGGUAAACACGGGAGAGAAUCGCCUCUUUCGUCGCCUCUCCACACAAACAAACGCGUGAAAAUAGAAAGAGAUGAGGAGAAGAGAGAGAAUUAUUUUGCCUUUUUAUAUUUCUUCUUCGACCAAUGUACAAACGCCAUGCGUCCGCCUCUUACAGACACUUUUGGCUCUUAAGUAAGAAACGUUUCUUAACAAUAAUAACCAUUUGCCAUUUAAUUAAAUACAUC
rnacentral:lncRNA from 1 species